rnacentral:rRNA from 1 species
GAACGCUGGCGGCGUGCCUAACACAUGCAAGUCGAACGGAGUAUUCGCUGAUGAAGCUUCGGCAGAAUCUUGAAUAACUUAGUGGCGGACGGGUGAGUAACGCGUGGGUAACCUGCCUCAUACAGGGGGAUAGCAGUUGGAAACGACUGAUAACACCGCAUAAGCGCACAGUGUCGCAUGACACAGGUGUGAAAAUAUUUAUAGGUAUGAGAUGGACCCGCGUCUGAUUAGCUAGUUGGUGAGGUAACGGCCCACCAAGGCGACGAUCAGUAGCCGGCCUGAGAGGGCGGACGGCCACAUUGGGACUGAGACACGGCCCAAACUCCUGCGGGAGGCAGCAGUGGGGGAUAUUGCACAAUGGGCGAAAGCCUGAUGCAGCGACGCCGCGUGAGUGAAGAAGUAUUUCGGUAUGUAAAGCUCUAUCAGCAGGGAAGAAAGACCUCGUAAGAGGGGAUGACGGUACCUGAGUAAGAAGCCCCGGCUAACUACGUGCCAGCCGCAGC